rnacentral:rRNA from 1 species
GUUAACGAGGCGAACCGGGGGAACUGAAACAUCUAAGUACCCCGAGGAAAAGAAAUCAACCGAGAUUCCCCCAGUAGCGGCGAGCGAACGGGGAGCAGCCCAGAGUCUGAAUCAGCUUGUGUGUUAGUGGAACGGUCUGGAAAGUCCGACGGUACAGGGUGAUAGUCCCGUACACCAAAAUGCACAGGCUGUGAACUCGAAGAGUAGGGCGGGACACGUGGUAUCCUGUCUGAAUAUGGGGGGACCAUCCUCCAAGGCUAAAUACUCCUGACUGACCGAUAGUGAACCAGUACCGUGAGGGAAAGGCGAAAAGAACCCCGGCGAGGGGAGUGAAAAAGAACCUGAAACCGUGUACGUACAAGCAGUGGGAGCACCUUUAGGUGUGACUGCGUACCUUUUGUAUAAUGGGUCAGCGACUUAUAUUCUGUAGCAAGGUUAACCGUAUAGGGGAGCCGCAGGGAAACCGAGUCUUAACUGGGCGUUAAGUUGCAGGGUAUAGACCCGAAACCCGGUGAUCUAGCCAUGGGCAGGUUGAAGGUUGGGUAACACUAACUGGAGGACCGAACCGACUAAUGUUGAAAAAUUAGCGGAUGACUUGUGGCUGGGGGUGAAAGGCCAAUCAAACCGGGAGAUAGCUGGUUCUCCCCGAAAGCUAUUUAGGUAGCGCCUCGUGAACUCAUCUUCGGGGGUAGAGCACUGUUUCGGCUAGGGGGUCAUCCCGACUUACCAACCCGAUGCAAACUACGAAUACCGAAGAAUGUUAUCACGGGAGACACACGGCGGGUGCUAACGUCCGUCGUGAAGAGGGAAACAACCCAGACCGCCAGCUAAGGUCCCAAAGUCAUGGUUAAGUGGGAAACGAUGUGGGAAGGCACAGACAGCCAGGAUGUUGGCUUAGAAGCAGCCAUCAUUUAAAGAAAGCGUAAUAGCUCACUGGUCGAGUCGGCCUGCGCGGAAGAUGUAACGGGGCUAAACCAUGCACCGAAGCUGCGGCAGCGACACGAUGUGUUGUUGGGUAGGGGAGCGUUCUGUAAGCCUGCGAAGGUGACCUGUGAGGGUUGCUGGAGGUAUCAGAAGUGCGAAUGCUGACAUAAGUAACGAUAAAGCGGGUGAAAAGCCCGCUCGCCGGAAGACCAAGGGUUCCUGUCCAACGUUAAUCGGGGCAGGGUGAGUCGACCCCUAAGGCGAGGCCGAAAGGCGUAGUCGAUGGGAAACAGGUUAAUAUUCCUGUACUUGGUGUUACUGCGAAGGGGGGACGGAGAAGGCUAUGUUAGCCGGGCGACGGUUGUCCCGGUUUAAGCAUGUAGGCUGGUUAUCCAGGCAAAUCCGGAUAAUCAAGGCUGAGGUGUGAUGACGAGGCACUACGGUGCUGAAGUAACAAAUGCCCUGCUUCCAGGAAAAGCCUCUAAGCAUCAGGUAACAUCAAAUCGUACCCCAAACCGACACAGGUGGUCAGGUAGAGAAUACCAAGGCGCUUGAGAGAACUCGGGUGAAGGAACUAGGCAAAAUGGUGCCGUAACUUCGGGAGAAGGCACGCUGGUGUGUAGGUGAAGCCCCUGCGGGUGGAGCUGAGACCAGUCGAAGAUACCAGCUGGCUGCAACUGUUUAUUAAAAACACAGCACUGUGCAAACACGAAAGUGGACGUAUACGGUGUGACGCCUGCCCGGUGCCGGAAGGUUAAUUGAUGGGGUUAUCCGUAAGGAGAAGCUCUUGAUCGAAGCCCCGGUAAACGGCGGCCGUAACUAUAACGGUCCUAAGGUAGCGAAAUUCCUUGUCGGGUAAGUUCCGACCUGCACGAAUGGCGUAAUGAUGGCCAGGCUGUCUCCACCCGAGACUCAGUGAAAUUGAACUCGCUGUGAAGAUGCAGUGUACCCGCGGCAAGACGGAAAGACCCCGUGAACCUUUACUAUAGCUUGACACUGAACAUUGAGCCUUGAUGUGUAGGAUAGGUGGGAGGCUUUGAAGCGUGGACGCCAGUCUGCGUGGAGCCAACCUUGAAAUACCACCCUUUAAUGUUUGAUGUUCUAACGUUGGCCCCUUAUCGGGGUUGCGGACAGUGUCUGGUGGGUAGUUUGACUGGGGCGGUCUCCUCCCAAAGCGUAACGGAGGAGCACGAAGGUUAGCUAAUCCUGGUCGGACAUCAGGAGGUUAGUGCAAUGGCAUAAGCUAGCUUGACUGCGAGCGUGACGGCGCGAGCAGGUGCGAAAGCAGGUCAUAGUGAUCCGGUGGUUCUGAAUGGAAGGGCCAUCGCUCAACGGAUAAAAGGUACUCCGGGGAUAACAGGCUGAUACCGCCCAAGAGUUCAUAUCGACGGCGGUGUUUGGCACCUCGAUGUCGGCUCAUCACAUCCUGGGGCUGAAGUAGGUCCCAAGGGUAUGGCUGUUCGCCAUUUAAAGUGGUACGCGAGCUGGGUUUAGAACGUCGUGAGACAGUUCGGUCCCUAUCUGCCGUGGGCGCUGGAGAAUUGAGGGGGGCUGCUCCUAGUACGAGAGGACCGGAGUGGACGCAUCACUGGUGUUCGGGUUGUCAUGCCAAUGGCACUGCCCGGUAGCUAAAUGCGGAAGAGAUAAGUGCUGAAAGCAUCUAAGCACGAAACUUGCCCCGAGAUGAGUUCU